CAGUAGCCGCGGUAAUACGUAGGGCGCAAGCGUUAUCCGGAAUUAUUGGGCGUAAAGAGCUCGUAGGCGGUUUGUCGCGUCUGCCGUGAAAGUCCGGGGCUCAACCCCGGAUCUGCGGUGGGUACGGGCAGACUAGAGUGAUGUAGGGGAGACUGGAAUUCCUGGUGUAGCGGUGAAAUGCGCAGAUAUCAGGAGGAACACCGAUGGCGAAGGCAGGUCUCUGGGCAUUAACUGACGCUGAGGAGCGAAAGCAUGGGGAGCGAACAGGAUUAGAUACCCCUGUAGUCCCUGUCUCUUAUAC
rnacentral:rRNA from 1 species